UUCUUCCUGACUAGUUGAGCGCACGCAA
rnacentral:piRNA from 1 species